rnacentral:rRNA from 1 species
GAUGAACGCUGGCGGCGUGCUUAACACAUGCAAGUCGAACGGUGAACGAGGGAGCUUGCUCCCUCCGGAUCAGUGGCGAACGGGUGAGUAACACGUGAGCAAUCUGCCCUGGACUCUGGGAUAAGCGUUGGAAACGACGUCUAAUACCGGAUACGAGGCGUGGGGGCAUCCCCAACGCCUGGAAAGAACUUCGGUCCAGGAUGAGCGCGCGGCCUAUCAGCUUGUUGGUGAGGUAACGGCUCACCAAGGCGACGACGGGUAGCCGGCCUGAGAGGGUGGCCGGCCACACUGGGACUGAGACACGGCCCAGACUCCUACGGGAGGCAGCAGUGGGGAAUAUUGCACAAUGGGCGCAAGCCUGAUGCAGCAACGCCGCGUGAGGGACGACGGCCUUCGGGUUGUAAACCUCUUUUAGCAGGGAAGAAGCGAAAGUGACGGUACCUGCAGAAAAAGCACCGGCUAACUACGUGCCAGCAGCCGCGGUAAGAC